rnacentral:lncRNA from 1 species
AUUUUAUUGCCCACGCCCACUUGUGAGCAUGCCGUCUCCCUCGGACAGAGGCAGCCAGGCAGCCUUAUACCGACUGCAUUUUCCAGUCCCAGGGAAAACCUCCACUCCACCCUCACAAGCUCAGAUCCUGAUCAGUCUCAAGAUAGAGCCUGCCAAGGGGUUGCCUCCCUUUGUUUCCAGCAUUAAGACUUUGUGAGCUUGGGAAACUGGUUCCUCCCCACCCCACCCCCCCAUCUGGAGGACCAGAGGGACACCAAGGAGGCCAGAACAGAGCUAUUCAGCACCACACAGUAAGGGGGAAGCAAGUCCAGGAUGAAGACGAACAAUCGGGGAUGCUGCUGCAGCAUGGGUAAAGGAAGAAAAGGAUUCACUAAUUUUUCAGAUGAAGAACAAACGGCAUGUUUCCCUCACAUUUCUUCUGAGGAGAGCAAAGCCAGCGUCUCCUCGGCCCUCAGCCUUCCACAGAAAUUCUGCAACCGGUUAAAAGUGACCAAUUUAAGUUGUGUUGGUGGGGUCAUGGUGGAAACUGUUGUCAUCAAUGAAGAAAUAUUUAAGCCGGGAAGGAAAGGACCUGUGAGAGUUUUUCAGACUGAAAACAUGAAAAGCCUCAUUCACCAACUUAAUUGUAUGGAUUCACCAAAACACACCAUGACAGCAAAAGAUCUCCUUCAGUUGCUGAAUUUCUUGCAAAGGAAGAAACAAUUCCUGCUCACAGGAAAUCCCAAUUGA